rnacentral:rRNA from 1 species
UGGGGAAUUUUGCACAAUGGGGGAAACCCUGAUGCAGCGACGCCGCGUGAUUUAGAAGGCCUUCGGGUUGUAAAAAUCUUUUCUAUGGGAAGAAAAUGACAGUACCAUAGGAAUAAGGACCGGCUAAUUACGUGCCAGCAGCCGCGGUAAUACGUAAGGUCCGAGCGUUGUCCGGAAUCAUUGGGCGUAAAGGGUACGUAGGCGGGUAAGCAAGUUAGAAGUGAAAUCCUAUAGCUCAACUAUAGUAAGCUUUUAAAACUGCUCAUCUUGAGGUAUGGAAGGGAAAGUGGAAAUCCUAGUGUAGCGGUGAAAUGCGCAGAUAUUAGGAGGAAUACCGGUGGCGAAGGCGACUUUCUGGCCAUAACCUGACGCUGAGGUACGAAAGCGUGGGUAGCAAACAGG